UUCGUCUUCUUCUUCUUCCUCUUCGUCUCUGUAAAACCCUAGAUCUGCUCCCGAAACCCUAAAAAUUUCCGAGAGCGGCGAUGGCGGACACCGAGACGUUUGCCUUCCAGGCGGAGAUCAACCAGCUCCUCAGCUUGAUCAUCAACACCUUCUACAGCAACAAGGAGAUCUUUCUCCGUGAGCUUAUCAGCAAUGCCUCCGAUGUGAGUCUUCUUCAGCCGUUGAUUGUUAUUCUGGAUUUGGAAUCAGUAUUUGAUCUAGUGUUUAUUGAUUGUUUGAUUGUUUGGAUUUUGAUUGCGUUUGAGUACUGGUUUUUGUUGACGAUUGGUGUUGGAUUAGUAGAGAUCUGGACUCUUUAGGCUUGAUUCUAGGGUUUAUGAUAGUUUUGCAAUAUUAAAAGAGUAAUCAAUCUGUGGAUUAGUUAAAAGUUGAUAAUGGAAAUAGGAUGAUGAUUUUUGUAGUUGUUUAGCUGUUGUUGUGGAAUCAGAAUCGAGUGGGUUUUGAUUUUGAUGAUUAAUAGUGGAUUGAUUAGUUUUAGUAAUUAUUACUGAUUUGGGGGUUUAGGGUUUUGUUUUUUAUUCAGGGGUUUCGGAUUGGUGUGUAACAUGCUUUGGGCUCAAUGUUAAUCAUGAUCAAUCGUAUUUUAUACAUGUCUUCAUUGUGCAGACACAUAGUUUCGUUUACCUGUUUAUGUCAACUUUGAUAUGGAGUUGAUAUGGUGCAUAGUUACCGGUGGAUGCUUUUAAUUUGUUUUGUAUUGAUUGUGAAUACGAUUGUUAAGUUGUGAGCGGUGUGUUUAUUUAAGUGUGUCGAUUUUUCUUGAGUUUGUGCCUUUUAGUUUCAAUGGAGUGCGUUUGUUGAUGUAUGAUGUUCUAUUUAUGCAGGCUCUUGACAAGAUUAGAUUUGAGAGCUUGACCGAUAAGAGCAAGCUUGAGUCUCAGCCAGAGCUCUUCAUCCACAUUAUCCCCGACAAGACCAACAACACAUUGACCAUUAUUGACAGUGGUAUUGGAAUGACCAAGGCUGGUAAGUUGCUCUGCUUUUGAUUUUACAUGUUUGUUUUAGUUUUAUGUUUUUGGGAUACUGAAAUUGAUGAUGCGAUACUAAUGUGUUUGCUUAAUUUCUGUUUUCAGAUUUGGUGAACAACCUUGGUACCAUUGCAAGGUCAGGAACCAAGGAAUUCAUGGAAGCCUUGGCUGCUGGUGCUGACGUUAGCAUGAUUGGUCAGUUUGGUGUUGGUUUCUACUCUGCCUAUCUUGUUGCCGAGAAGGUCAUCGUCACCACCAAGCACAAUGAUGACGAGCAGUACAUCUGGGAGUCUCAGGCUGGAGGAUCUUUCACAGUGACCAGGGACUCUGGUGAGCCUCUUGGCAGGGGUACCAAGAUCUGCCUUCACCUGAAGGAGGACCAACUUGAGUACCUUGAAGAGCGCAGGCUCAAGGAUUUGAUCAAGAAGCACUCCGAGUUCAUCAGCUACCCUAUUUCAUUGUGGAUUGAGAAGACCACUGAGAAGGAGAUCUCUGAUGAUGAGGAUGAAGAAGAAAAGAAGGAAGAGGAAGGAAAGGUGGAGGAAGUUGAUGAAGAGAAGGAAAAGGAGGAGAAGAAAAAGAAGAAAAUUCAGGAGAUUUCUCACGAAUGGUCUUUGGUGAACAAGCAAAAGCCUAUCUGGAUGAGGAAGCCAGAAGAGAUCAACAAGGAAGAGUACUCAGCAUUCUACAAGAGUCUUACCAAUGACUGGGAAGAGCACCUUUCUGUCAAGCACUUCUCAGUUGAGGGUCAGCUGGAAUUCAAGGCCAUCCUCUUUGUUCCCAAGAGGGCACCAUUCGAUCUCUUCGACACCAGGAAGAAGCCCAACAACAUCAAGCUCUAUGUCCGCCGUGUCUUUAUCAUGGACAACUGUGAGGAGUUGAUCCCUGAGUACCUUGGUUUUGUGAAGGGUAUUGUUGACUCUGAGGAUCUUCCCCUCAACAUUUCCAGAGAGAUGUUGCAGCAGAACAAGAUCUUGAAGGUCAUCCGCAAGAACUUGGUGAAGAAGUGUAUCGAGAUGUUCACUGAGAUUUCUGAGAACAAGGAAGACUACAACAAGUUCUAUGAGUCUUUCUCCAAGAAUCUCAAGCUUGGAAUCCACGAGGACUCCCAGAACAAGACUAAGCUUGCUGAUUUGUUGAGGUACCACUCAACCAAGAGCGGUGAUGAGAUGACCAGCCUUAAGGACUACGUCACAAGGAUGAAGGAGGGCCAGCAAGACAUCUACUACAUCACUGGUGAAAGCAAGAAGGCUGUUGAGAACUCUCCUUUCCUUGAGAAGCUUAAGAAGAAGGGAUACGAGGUUCUGUUCAUGGUUGAUGCUAUUGAUGAGUAUGCAGUUGGUCAGCUCAAGGAGUAUGAGGGCAAAAAGCUCGUCUCUGCCACCAAGGAAGGUCUCAAGCUUGACGAGACUGAGGAUGAGGCAAAGAAGAAGGAAGAGUUGAAGGAGAAGUUUGAGGGGCUCUGCAAGGUUGUCAAGGAUGUGUUGGGUGAUCGUGUUGAGAAGGUUGUGGUGUCUGACCGUGUGGUUGAUUCUCCCUGCUGUUUGGUGACUGGUGAGUAUGGGUGGACUGCCAACAUGGAAAGGAUCAUGAAAGCCCAGGCUUUGAGGGAUAACAGCAUGGCUGGUUACAUGUCUUCCAAGAAGACCAUGGAGAUCAACCCCGAGAACCCAAUCAUGGAGGAGCUCAGAAAGAGGGCUGAUGCAGACAAGAAUGACAAGUCAGUGAAGGACCUUGUGCUCCUUCUCUUUGAGACUGCCCUGCUCACCUCUGGGUUCAGCCUUGACGACCCCAACACCUUUGGCAACAGGAUCCACAGGAUGUUGAAGCUUGGACUGAGUAUUGAUGAUGAUGCCGUUGAAGGUGAUGCUGACAUGCCUCCACUGGAGGAUAUUGAUGCAGAAGCAGAGAGCAAGAUGGAGGAAGUUGACUAAACAGGAGACCUGAC
rnacentral:lncRNA from 1 species